UACGAAGGGGGCUAGCGUUGCUCGGAAUCACUGGGCGUAAAGCGCACGUAGGCGGCUUUCUAAGUCAGGGGUGAAAUCCUGGAGCUCAACUCCAGAACCGCCUUUGAUACUGGAGAGCUUGAGUCCGGAAGAGGUGAGUGGAACUCCGAGUGUAGAGGUGAAAUUCGUAGAUAUUCGCAAGAACACCAGUGGCGAAGGCGGCUCACUGGCCCGAUACUGACGCUGAGGCACGAAAGCGUGGGGAGCAAACAGG
rnacentral:rRNA from 1 species